rnacentral:rRNA from 1 species
GAUGAACGCUGGCGGCGUGCCUAAUACAUGCAAGUCGAGCGAACAGACGAGGAGCUUGCUCCUCUGACGUUAGCGGCGGACGGGUGAGUAACACGUGGAUAACCCACCUAUAAGACUGGGAUAACUUCGGGAAACCGGAGCUAAUACCGGAUAAUAUAUUGAACCGCAUGGUUCAAUAGUGAAAGACGGCUUUGCUGUCACUAAUAGAUGGAUCCGCGCCGCAUUAGCUAGUUGGUAAGGUAACGGCUUACCAAGGCAACGAUGCGUAGCCGACCUGAGAGGGUGAUCGGCCACACUGGAACUGAGACACGGUCCAGACUCCUACGGGAGGCAGCAGUAGGGAAUCUUCCGCAAUGGGCGAGAGCUUGACGGAGCAACGCCGCGUGAGUGAUGAAGGUCUUCGGAUCGUAAAACUCUGUUAUUAGGGAAGAACAAAUGUGUAAGUAACUAUGCACGUCUUGACGGUACCUAAUCAGAAAGCCACGGCUAACUACGUG